UAGAGUUUGAUCAUGGCUCAGAUUGAACGCUGGCGGCAGGCCUAACACAUGCAAGUCGAGCGGAAACGAUGGAAGCUUGCUUCCAGGCGUCGAGCGGCGGACGGGUGAGUAAUGCAUGGGAAUCUGCCCGAUAGUGGGGGAUAACCUGGGGAAACCCAGGCUAAUACCGCAUACGUCCUACGGGAGAAAGCAGGGGAUCUUCGGACCUUGCGCUAUCGGAUGAGCCCAUGUCGGAUUAGCUUGUUGGUGAGGUAAUGGCUCACCAAGGCGACGAUCCGUAGCUGGUCUGAGAGGAUGAUCAGCCACAUCGGGACUGAGACACGGCCCGAACUCCUACGGGAGGCAGCAGUGGGGAAUAUUGGACAAUGGGCGAAAGCCUGAUCCAGCCAUGCCGCGUGUGUGAAGA
rnacentral:rRNA from 1 species